GAUGAACGCUGGCUACAGGUUUAACACAUGCAAGUCGAGGGGAAACGACGGGGAAGCUUGCUUCCCCGGGCGUCGACCGGCGCACGGGUGAGUAACGCGUAUCCAACCUGCCUCUGACUGAGGGAUAACCCGUCGAAAGUCGGCCUAAUACCUCAUGGCAUCGUCUGCGGGCAUCCAACGACGAUUAAAGAUUUCAUCGGUCAGAGAUGGGGAUGCGUCUGAUUAGCUUGUUGGCGGGGUAACGGCCCACCAAGGCGACGAUCAGUAGGGGUUCUGAGAGGAAGGUCCCCCACAUUGGAACUGAGACACGGUCCAAACUCCUACGGGAGGCAGCAGUGAGGAAUAUUGGUCAAUGGGCGAGAGCCUGAACCAGCCAAGUAGCGUGCAGGAUGACGGCCCUAUGGGUUGUAAACUGCUUUUAUGCGGGGAUAAAGUGAGGGACGUGUCCUUCAUUGCAGGUACCGCAUGAAUAAGGACCGGCUAAUUCCGUG
rnacentral:rRNA from 1 species